CAGCCACACAAAGGUUCUCCCUUUCUCUAUCUCUCUUUUUCUCUCUAUGCGAAACCAACAAAAAUUGUCACCAUCCCUCUAUCACCGGCUCUGUCAGACAGCAACAGCCAUCACCGCAGGCUAGCCAGUGAUGCUACCGCCACCCCUUUUCCUCUUUAUUUUUUUCUCUCUCCUUCUGCCUACCUCUUCGAGUUCCAUGCCGCCAUCGUCGUCCUCUGGCGAACCACCGCAACAGCAACUCCCACGCUGUCGAACCCCUCCGACGAAGCCACCAUCUAAUCUAGCCGCUCCUCUACCGCCUUUAUCCUUCUCUCCCAUCGAAGAGCCUCAACAGAUGUGAUUACUGGCGGGCUCUUCGUCUUCAGCGCCGCCUGUCUCUGCUAUCCCCACCUUCGAAUGAACCAGCUGACGCUCCCAACAGCAACAUCAAAUCCAGCAAACCCCUACUCUCACUAUCUCCGGCCAACUCUGCAACUAGUCGUCACCAACCCUUCUCCUGCCGCCGCUGCACGAACAUGUAGCCACUAUUCUAUUCUAUACUGGUGAGAAAAAGAUAUUGAUGCAGAUUUGAUUGUUCUAGUUCGUGGAGAUACGGACAUGCUUGGUAGAGUGUUCAUCGAGCCUGAUGGAUCUUCGUGGUAUCCCACGUCAAAAGAAGUUGAUGAGGCUACAAGGGAGAGCGUCAUGAGACUUUUUACUUAUCCUUGGCACUAGUGGUGGGACAUUCCAAUAGUCUCUAAACAAGCCAUGUUUCAAGAGAUUCGGUAUUGUUCCCCCAAUGAUCUUCUUCUGGGCGAGCUGCGGAGCUACUUUUGAGUCUUUCUCGUCGGACCCAUAUACCACUUAACAGUUUUGUAAUAUCAAUUAGUAGUAUGCCCGACCAGAAGAAGCGGCACCGGAUUUGGACCGCAGGGAACCCAUUAAUAAUAAUAGAACUCUGCGCAAAGGGCGAAAAAAGGAAAGAGAGGGACGCACAUGGAAACUGCUUUUUUAAUAUGUGUAUAUAUAUAUAUAUAUACUAGUCAUAUAAAAUCAUAUAACACUAGUCAAUCGAUUUUCAAAUAAUGUGUUGUUGGUUGGCAAAGCACGAUCAGACCAUUUCUAUAAUUUUUGAGAGACAUGCUGCUAUGUCACAUCAGAUUGCACAUCUUAGACGUGCCUUGACAUAGGAUGUUGCUCCUGAUUCAAGUAGCGAAGAGGAAACAGAGAAUGAUGAGGAGUUUGUUGGGGUUACUCCUUUGUGUUGUUAGACUUGACUUUUAGAUAUUUUUGAACUUAGCUUUUAAUUAGUGAAAAAUCUUAGAAGUGUUUAAGUAUUUUGAAUGUUGUUGGAUUCAUUGUUUAAGUGUUUGAUUUGAAUUGCUUAAAUAAUUUGUUGA